CCUACGGGAGGCAGCAGUGGGGAAUAUUGGACAAUGGGCGCAAGCCUGAUCCAGCCAUACCGCGUGUGUGAAGAAGGCCUUUUGGUUGUAAAGCACUUUAAGCGAGGAGGAGGCUCUUGAGGUUAAUACCCUUGAUGAGUGGACGUUACUCGCAGAAUAAGCACCGGCUAACUCUGUGCCAGCAGCCGCGGUAAUACAGAGGGUGCGAGCGUUAAUCGGAAUUACUGGGCGUAAAGCGCGCGUAGGCGGCUUGUUAAGUCGGAUGUGAAAUCCCCGGGCUCAACCUGGGCACUGCAUUCGAUACUGGCAAGCUAGAGUAUGGGAGAGGAAGGUAGAAUUCCAGGUGUAGCGGUGAAAUGCGUAGAGAUCUGGAGGAAUACCGAUGGCGAAGGCAGCCUUCUGGCCUAAUACUGACGCUGAGGUGCGAAAGCAUGGGGAGCAAACAGGAUUAGAUACCCUGGUAGUCCAUGCCGUAAACGAUGUCAACUAGCCGUUGGGGACCUUGAGUCUUAGUGGCGCAGCUAACGCGANAAGUUGACCGCCUGGGGAGUACGGUCGCAAGACUAAAACGUCAAAGGAUUGACGG
rnacentral:rRNA from 1 species